rnacentral:rRNA from 1 species
AUUGAACGCUGGCGGCAGGCUUAACACAUGCAAGUCGAGCGGGGGAAGGUAGCUUGCUACCUAACCUAGCGGCGGACGGGUGAGUAAUGCUUAGGAAUCUGCCUAUUAGUGGGGGACAACAUUUCGAAAGGGAUGCUAAUACCGCAUACGCCCUAAGGGGGAAAGCAGGGGAUCUUCGGACCUUGCGCUAAUAGAUGAGCCUAAGUCGGAUUAGCUAGUUGGUGGGGUAAAGACCUACCAAGGCGACGAUCUGUAGCGGGUCUGAGAGGAUGAUCCGCGACACUGGGACUGAGACACGGCCCGGACUCCUACGGGAGGCAGCAGUGGGGAAUAUUGGACAAUGGGGGGAACCCUGAUCCAGCCAUGCCGCGUGUGUGAAGAAGGCCUUAUGGUUGUAAAGCACUUUAAGCGAGGAGGAGGCUACUGAGACUAAUACUCUUGGAUAGUGGACGUUACUCGCAGAAUAAGCACCGGCUAACUCUGUGCCAGCAGCCGCGGUAACAC